UUAAAAAAAGAUAUUUAACUGUUACUAUCUACCAGAUGGGAGUUUGGGCGUGUUUUCAGUGUCUGUACAGGUUGGGAGGUGACUAUCAGGUAUUUGGCUCCCAUGAGUACAACAGCCAUAAAAAAAAUCUCAAAGAGGAGCAACUAGUGGAUUUCCUAACAUAAGAUUAAAUUUUUAUUUUUAAAUAUCAGGAGUCUGCAAACUAUAACCCAUGGGCCAAAUCUGGCCAUACCCAUUAGUUUAUGAAUUAUCUGUUCCUGAUUUCUGGCUACCAUGUCACGUUGAAUACAUGUGAUACAGCAAAGAUAGCCCACAAACUCUAAAAUAUUUACUAUCUGGCCCUUUACAGAAAACCCCUGCUAAUCCUUGCUACACAUAAAAAAACGUCAUAAUUAAAAGGCAAACAGCAAACUAGGAACAAAAUCAAACAUUUGACCCACAUAUACCAAAGCAAAGAAUAAUACCCUAAGUAUAAAAAUGGCCUUCCAAAUUCAUUGAGAAACUCCCAGUUGGCCAUAGGCAGAGGAUAUCAAUAAAUAGUACACUAAGGAAAAAUACAAUGGAUCAAUGUAUGAACAAAUGGAAGUUUGGCCUCAAGAGUGGAGAACUGAAAAACAGCAGCAGAACUGACCACAACAAUGUAACAGUGUUUGGAGAAAGGAUGUCACAGCAUGGUGGCUACUUGUAGUGGUGGCUGUGGGUCUACUCUAAAGCAGUUUGACAAUAUACAUGAGUACCUUCACAAAAACAAGGAUACGCCCUUUGAUCCAGAAAUUCUACUUCUAAGAAGCUAUCUUGAGAAAUUAUUUGCAGAUAUAAAUAUGUAAAGGUUCAGAAUAUAUCCCAAAGUAAUAAUAUCUCUGGCUCCACCUCUUACUGGCAGGGAUGACUUUGUGUGAGCCACCAAACCUCACUAAGCCUCAGUUAACUCAUCUGUAUAAUGAGAAUGAAAAACAGUACCCAACCAUAGGGCUGUUGUGAAGAUUCAAUGUACUAGUACAUGUACGUUUUUAUGUAGAAGACCUAUUAGAUAGUAGCAACAGGUAUUAAAACCCAACUACUUCUUAUAAGUGAAAUAACAGGGAAAUAGUUAAGUAAAUACUGGCAUAUCCUUAUAAAGGAAUACUAUGAGUCAUUAAAUUAAUGAGUUUAUGGCAUAACAAUGGUAUAGAAAAAUUCACUGUCAAAAUAAGAUCACAAAACUAAAUAUGCAAUAUUAUUUCAAUGGCAUUGAAGUAUAGAAAAUCCGUAAGUGCAUAUAAAAAAGGACUGGGAAAAUAUAUCAGAUAUUAAGGAUGGACUCAGAGGUAGGAAUAAGGAUGUUGUUAUUUUUUUAAAAACUAUUAUAUAUUAUUUUUCAUAAUAAACAAACUAAGUAUUUUCUGAUAUAAAUUAGAAUAAGUAGGGAAUAAAUAGAAAUUACAUAUGUUGAGGCAAGAAAAAAGUCCAAACAUAUGUUGACCCUUUUAACUUGGAAAGAGUUGGUGAGAAAAGCCAGGUCAGGGGAAAUGAGUCUCUUGUCUCAUUUCAGGCCAGUCUCCUAUGUAUAAGGCCCAGAGAAGGAGUGGAAAACCUGGGGGGGGGGGGUGGGGAUCUGUGUCAAUCAUAAUUUUCUCAUGUUAAGAACUUCUCAUCCUCUGUUUCAGAAACCAGGGAUUCCCCAGGCUACUCUCAUCGUUAUCCCCACCAGAGUCCUAUCACUCCUCCAGGGCCAUCCCAGAGGUGUGGUCCCUGGCACUGCCACCCAGACUCUCCUCCACCUCUAACCACACGAGGAGAAGAAUACAGAGGACUUCUCAGCACUCAGCACGAUUCUCGGCAUCAACGGAAACAUAAAUCCAAGGGCCAGCAAAGAGCGAAGUCUUCUUGAGAACAAGGGGUUUAGAAGCCUAGUGAAUGUCUGGAGAGAGAGAGGCAGACUCUUCCCAAGGGUUUACAUCUUGGUUUUUCCCACCUGGCUUCCUUGCUGAAGAAGAGCACAGCCCAGGCUAAGUCGGCUAGAAUUUUGUCACCGAGUAGGGGGUCUCAAACAACAGGGUGGGCCUUUUAACCCCUUCUGCUUUGUUCUCAUCUACUUUGGAACCUCCGGUGCAUAACAGCUGGGCUGCUCUGGCACGUUGUUUAACCUUCAAGCCUAAGUGUCCUGACUAUAAAAGGGGGUAGUAAUGGUACCUAUGGCUUUAAGGUUGUAGUGAUGAGAAAAUGACGUGUCUCCGGCAAGCACUUCCUAUAGGACCUGGCACACAGCAAGCACUCAAAAAUGUUAGCUGUGUUUGUAGUGCCAGAGCUUUACAGGGGACAAACAUGUGGAAAGAAAGUCUUUCACUUGAAAAAUCACAAAGGAAAACUGUGUGAAACUCAUAUGCCCUGGCCCCCACCUACACUCUGACCCCAUCUUCAUUCCCUUGGACAUGGGCUCACUCUGGUCCCACUGACCUCCUGGAAUUUCUUCAUUCACGUUAAGCAUCCAGGACUUCACAUUUGCUGUUUCUUCUGCCUGAAACAUCCUACUUCCAGACAGCCCCAGGACUUGCCACUUCAUUCCAUUCUGAUAAUUUAUUUAUUACAAAGCGAUCUUGUUCUCCAGACAAUCUAAAGUGGCACCUUCACCACCCUAGUCACUUUCUGUCCUUCUUCCCUGUGUCAUUUGCUUUUGUCCCAGUACCUGAGUGUUACAUUUACAUAUUAAUACAGUUAUUACCUAGGGCCCCUGCUAGCUAGUAAGAUCCAUAAAGUAGGAGUAUUUUUUUUGCUGUUGUUCACUGCAACAUUUCUAAAGUCUCAAAUGGUGCCCAAAAUAAUAGAAGGCAUAUACUAUCAAUUCAAUAAACACAUAAAACAUAUACAUAUAUAUAUAUAUUUCCUAUUUGAUCUCUAGAUGUCUUUCUAGAUUAUUGCACUAAUUUAGAAUCAUUGAAGCACUCAGGCAGUGAAGAAUAUUCUGGGCCUUAACCUGACCUUUAUAACUUUUGACACAAGAUAAAUUUCAACUUAAAUCCAUGAAAUUCACAUUAGAUUCAUUGCGAUCUUUCCUUGGUAUUCUUGGCCCAUGUAAUAUUAUGUUUGAUUGGAGAUAUUCUACAUAUAUGUAGGGAAAACUUCAAUUCUUAAACAAUUGACAAGAUUCUUCUUGUGAUUUAUAUACUUCCCACAGGUCUCAUGGCUUAGGAAAAUUGGACCCUGCUCCCUAAGACUUUCUCAAGGUCACUGUGUCUUAAACAGAAGGAGGCCUCUUAUCUAUGCUUAGGUCUUUGUACAAUGUGCUUCGUGCUGGGGGGAAGAGAUCUCUCCCAUCCAGGCAUUCCCCAAGUCCUAGCUUUUUAGGAUUUCUAUAUAAUGGAAUGAAUCAUGCCAAUUCUUAAGCCUUGGAGACUGCAUCAGAGUGAACCUUGACCUAGGAAAGUCGUCAAGCAAUCUAUUGAUGGACCAGACAAGUAAAUGACAGUAUCUGCUUAAAGUUCUGAAGACACAUUAAAUUACUAUCAUACUGCUCUGUCGUUUCUACUCAGUUCGAAGAUAGCUGAGUUGGCUAAGAGUGAUUCCCACUACCAUCACAUACUGAAAAGUAAACUUCAAGGCUGUCAUUAGAAAAACCCAAGAGAUAGCUGGGUAAAUGCUCACAUGACCACAAGUCAACCCAAGCUUUUACUGUGGACAGUAGAGCUCAGCUCUGGUCCUCACCAGCAACCUAGCUUUGAAGGCACGUAAUUUGCUCUGUUCUCAAACAUCCCAGCUCAGGGUCAAGUGCCCCAGGAAUUACUUUAUUAUACUUUGCUUGAUUUCAUUUUAUUUUUUAUUCGGUUCAGAAGCUUGCUUUACUCUGCACAAGGCCCAAGUUGUUCUUAAGACUUUCUGGACCUUGUGAAUUGAAGACAUGGUUUUUCUGGGUGUUGUGUUCCAUUUUGGGUACAGUAAGUCAUUUUCUCUUUAUAUCUGAAAAUGGAAGACUUUGUUUUUAAUAUGUCUGGGCAAUAAACUUGUGAUCCUUCAGCAGCUUGGUUCUUUGUAAUAACCUAUAGGCAUUUUCCUCUGCUAUUUAGCUCAUAUAUAGUAGGAAACAAGUCUAAAACUUCACUCCCUAGUUCAUAUCUCUUCCUGCUGCUGAAAAGGUUCAGAGUGUGUUGAGUUCAAAAAGAAUAAGCGGCAAUUUGUGGCUCCCAAACCCAAAGGUUCAGUAGUGAACUCUCCUGAAAGCAAGUUUAUUCCACACAUUUUCCCCAGCCUCAUCCACCUCCCAAAUUUCCCCAGCCGAUUUGCGCCACGGCAUCUUUGCUGAGGUUCUCCACAGAGGCCUCCCUCCAAUGAUGAUGGUAGCCCAAGAGGCUGCCAUCAGUGACAUCAGACCUAUUGGCAGUAACUGCAGUGGCACUUCUGACAAUAUGCCAAGAGUUCUAGGAGCCAGGCAUGAGGUGGGUAGUCCAAAUAAUGAUUCCUGCCCAAGCUGCCCUCUGCUGGGACAACCCACCACUAAUUAAAGGCCAUCUGUUUAGACCAUACAGGCUGUCCUGCCAGAAGGAGCCAGAUGUCAGCACAUUACUCCAGUCCGUGACCUCUCUUAGGAUAUUAACAUGGAUUAUUUAUGGGUGGGCUGAGGUGGUUACUCUAUAGGAGCCUCCUUCCUGGUGCACGGCUUAAGAAGUUAUAUAUAUGUUAUAUAUAAACUUUAUGACGAUGCCAUUAAUUUUGGGUAUUGCCAAGUUCCAGAUCUAUAUGCUCUGUAGUGGGGUUCUGGGCCUGGUUCAACAAUAAUAAUUUUUAAAAACACUCCAAUGUCUCAUUUCUCCAUGUUUUCCAUGGGCUCUACCUAAGUAUAGAUAUGAAUAUUUUCUUCUUGGGAAUUCACUGGCAUUUAGUUUGUGCCAAACUGUCUGUGAACUACUCUCUUCCCUUCAAUUAGAGAGGGGCGCCAAAUAAGUGCCUUCUUAAAGCUGAAAGAGAAUUGGGCGUCACCAUUCUUGAUGGUGUUCUUAUUCUUCUAAGUUAUGAGUUGAAAUGCCUUCUAUCCAAAGCAGGUUCUGGGUGAAUUAGUUUACCCCACAAGGGGAAGAAAACUGGAUGAAUACAGAAUUAUGAAUCAUAAAAGUUGAACUCUAGUCCUGGCUCUACCAUCUCUCUGUCACGGGAACUUGGGAAAGUUGCCUGCUCUUUUAGGCCUCAGACUGUUCUUCUCAAUAUUCCCAAACUAAGUGUCUUACAUAUAGUGAUGGUUCCCAAUUAAUUCUGAAAUGAAUAUACAUUUUAAUAAAAAUAUUUAAAUGAACUGAGUAAUGUCUAUCCUUCUUGCUGAAUCUGUAUCCUGUAGAAUGUAAAAUAAAAAAUGCUGAAAAGAA